rnacentral:rRNA from 1 species
GACAGAGGUGCCGAGCGUUAGGCGGAAUCACUGGGCUUAAAGCGUGUGUAGGCGGAGUUCUAAGUACCUUGUGAAAUCCCACGGCUUAACCGUGGAACUGCUUGGUAUACUGGUUCUCUUGGGCCAUCUAGGGGCUACUGGAACAAACGGUGGAGCGGUGAAAUGCGUAGAUAUCGUUUGGAACGCCAAUGGUGAAAACAAGCAGCUGGGGAUGUGCCGACGCUGAGACACGAAAGCCAGGGGAGCGAACGGG